rnacentral:rRNA from 1 species
GAUGAACGCUGGCGGCGUGCUUAACACAUGCAAGUCGAGCGAUUCUCUUCGGAGAAGAGCGGCGGACGGGUGAGUAACGCGUGGGUAACCUGCCCUGUACACACGGAUAACAUACCGAAAGGUAUGCUAAUACGAGAUAAUAUGCUUUUAUCGCAUGAUAGAAGUAUCAAAGCUUUUGCGGUACAGGAUGGACCCGCGUCUGAUUAGCUAGUUGGUAAGGUAACGGCUUACCAAGGCGACGAUCAGUAGCCGACCUGAGAGGGUGAUCGGCCACAUUGGGACUGAGACACGGCCCAGACUCCUACGGGAGGCAGCAGUGGGGGAUAUUGCACAAUGGGCGAAAGCCUGAUGCAGCGACGCCGCGUGAGGGAAGACGGUCUUCGGAUU